GUCGUGAGAUGUUGGGUUAAGUCCCGCAACGAGCGCAACCCUUGUCCCUAGUUGCUACGCAAGGGCACUCUAGGGAGACUGCCGGUGACAAACCGGAGGAAGGUGGGGAUGACGUCAAGUCCUCAUGGCCCUUAUGGGUAGGGCCUCACACGUCAUACAAUGGCCGGUACAGAGGGUUGCCAAACCGCGAGGUGGAGCCAAUCCCAGAAAGCCGGUCGUAGUCCGGAUUGCAGUCUGCAACUCGACUGCAUGAAGUCGGAAUCGCUAGUAAUCGCGGAUCAGCAUGUCGCGGUGAAUACGUUCCCGGGUCUUGUACACACCGCCCGUCACACCAUGGGAGUGGGGUGCACCAGAAGUAGGUAGGCUAACCGCAAGGGGGCCGCUUACCACGGUACGCUUCAUGACUGGGGUGAAGUCGUAACAAGGUAGCCGUAUCGGAAGGUGCGGCUGGAUCACCUCCUUUCUCGGAAGCAGGGAUCAGGCAUCAGGCAUCAGGGCUCACGCUCGAGUGCUGGAAACCUGCAUCCCCAACCUCUUCCAAGUGCCCACGCUUAUCGGUUGUUGCCGCAUGGAGUCAAGGCGGUGAUUUGAUGCCGAGCGCGGGCCUGUAGCUCAGUUGGUUAGAGCACCGUCUUGAUAAGGCGGGGGUCGAUGGUUCGAAUCCAUCCAGACCCACCAGAGUGCGAAAUGGCGCGGGUCGCGAGCCGUCUCGCGUCGCAGGCAGGAGUGGCGCAGCGAAAGGGGCUGUAGCUCAGUUGGGAGAGCGCCUGCUUUGCAAGCAGGAGGUCAUCGGUUCGAUCCCGUUCAGCUCCACCAAUCAAGUGACCGAGGCGGCGCGACCUGGAUCAGCGAGAAACCACAAGCAAGCGAGCGAAUGUUUGCUUCUGGCUUUUUGCCGGACCGGAAGUUCGGUUGUUCUUUAACAAAACGGAAGAAGUAAAGCGCACGCGACGGAGCAUUGUCGCGUGCUGGGUUAGAUUGUAUCGAACCGUUCCCUCCCGAGUUCGGGGGGAGCGGGUAUCGCAAACACCCGUGAUGCGAGCAGAAGUGCUCAGCGUUAUGGGAUCAAGCGACUAAGUGCAUGUGGUGGAUGCCUUGGCGAUCACAGGCGAUGAAGGACGUGGCAGCCUGCGUUAAGCCCCGGGGAGCUGGCAAACGAGCUUUGAUCCGGGGAUGU
rnacentral:sRNA from 1 species